AGAGAGAGAGAGAGAGAGAGAGAGAGAGAGAGAGAGAGAGAGAGAGAGAGAGAGAGAGAGAGGUGUUUGCAAGGAAAAAACAAAAACCUUACAUUGAAAAAAAUACUUUCUCAUUCACCUAGUUAUAAUUGUAAUUGUUCUUUGUACCAGUUGUCUUAAUUGUUUUCUUUCCUUUUUUUUUUUGCUCUUUUUAGCCAUUUUGUUUUUUGAUUGAAUCGUGAAAUGACAGGUGCUAUCUGUGAAACCAGUGAUAAUUGUUAACACUGUGUGUUGUGUACGCCAUGAACAACAGUAGAAGGGGGAUAACCCUUAAGUUACACCACUCAGCUGACAAUCAUUGUCGAUAUCGAUAAUUUUUCAGCCAAAUGUUAUGAUUUGCUCCUUUUCUAUAGAUGUCUUUUAAAACAGGAGCGGAUCUUAUACGUUGCCUAAGUGAGGCGACGUUACAUGGAGCAAGGAAUGAGAUUUAUUUUACAUGUACACGUAUUUUGUUUCUUACACGAACUGAAUGAAAUCCAUAGACUUAGAUCGACCAGCUUUGUCUUUGAAGGACGCAUGAACUUCUUGAUACGGGCAAUUUGUGUACUUGUAUUUUUUACUUCCAUUACACUUGAAGUUAACACGUAUUAGCAAUCAUAAAAACAUAUUAAUUAACACAAAGAUAAAUAGCAAACUAGUAAAAACUAUAUAUUUGUAUUUAAGCACUUUGUAUGAUUAAUUAUUAUAAUAUUAUCUAUAGAUUUGAUAUAGUCAGUCGGAUAGCUAUGGGUACUAAUUCCUUGUGAUAGAGAUAAAUAACAUUCAUUUUGUUAACGAAAUAAAAGGGAUCUAAUUAAC
rnacentral:misc_RNA from 1 species